rnacentral:rRNA from 1 species
AUUGAACGCUGGCGGCAGGCCUAACACAUGCAAGUCGAGCGGAUGAAGGGAGCUUGCUCCUGGAUUCAGCGGCGGACGGGUGAGUAAUGCCUAGGAAUCUGCCUGGUAGUGGGGGAUAACGUCCGGAAACGGGCGCUAAUACCGCAUACGUCCUGAGGGAGAAAGUGGGGGAUCUUCGGACCUCACGCUAUCAGAUGAGCCUAGGUCGGAUUAUCUAGUUGGUGGGGUAAAGGCCUACCAAGGCGACGAUCCGUAACUGGUCUGAGAGGAUGAUCAGUCACACUGGAACUGAGACACGGUCCAGACUCCUACGGGAGGCAGCAGUGGGGAAUAUUGGACAAUGGGCGAAAGCCUGAUCCAGCCAUGCCGCGUGUGUGAAGAAGGGCUUCGGAUUGUAAAGCACUUUAAGUUGGGAGGAAGGGCAGUAAGUUAAUACCUUGCUGUUUUGACGUUACCAACAGAAUAAGCACCGGCUAACUUCGUG